rnacentral:tRNA from 1 species
GCCUGUUUGGCUCAGUGGAUAGAGCAUUGGCCUGUGGACUGAAGGGUCCCGGGUUCGAUUCCCGGUCAGGGCA